AUUGGUGUAGUAUAGUGGUGAGUAUUCCCGCCUGUCACGCGGGUGACCCGGAUUCGUUCCCCGGCAACGGCG
rnacentral:tRNA from 1 species